CUGGACAGUGGAGCCGAGCACGCGAAUGGUGGAAAGUGCCAGGGGCCGGCGUGUGGAAAUGGCGAGGCCAUUGCACUGGAGGGGUUCCCAUGAGUCUCUUUCACUGCCACGUAUUAAUUUCAAAGAAGCAUUUGUGCACCAAAGUACCCAGAGAAAUGCACAAACCCUAAAAAACAACAUGAAACAGGACGCGCAGAGGGGAGCCAGACGCACCCAGGCAGGAGACAGCAUUUUCAAGCAGCUGAGCAUCCGACCGCGGCCAACAACCCAGGGGGCAGACCUGCUGUGGAGAGACGAGGAAGACCAAACACAGACUCAGGCAUAUGCGGAGACUGUGUGGGGAGCAGAGGGGGUUUCCCAAGGCAGUGGGGUAAGCAGGGACCUUUUUUUUAGACGGGG
rnacentral:lncRNA from 1 species